UGGCGGCUAUAGGUGGCGGGUAAUACCCGUUCCCUUCCCGAACACGGAAGUCAAGCCGUCCAUCGCCGAUGAUACCUGGUCGUUAUGACCCGGAAAAGUAGGUCGCCGCCA
rnacentral:rRNA from 1 species